GUUGGUGCCCGUACCGCAAACCGACACAGGUAGGUGAGGAGAGAAUCCUAAGACCAUCGGAAGAAUUGCUGUUAAGGAACUAGGCAAAUUGACCCCGUAACUUCGGGAGAAGGGGUGCCUGCUUCACGGCAGGCCGCAGUGAAUAGGCCCAAGCAACUGUUUAUCAAAAACACAGGUCUCUGCUAAAGCGAAAGCUGAUGUAUAGGGGCUGACGCCUGCCCGGUGCUGGAAGGUUAAAGGGAUCUGUUAGCGUAAGCGAAGCGGUGAACUUAAGCCCCAGUGAACGGCGGCCGUAACUAUAACGGUCCUAAGGUAGCGAAAUUCCUUGUCGGGUAAGUUCCGACCCGCACGAAUGGCGUAAUGACUUGGGCACUGUCUCAACAGCAAAUCCGGCGAAAUUGUAGUGCAAGUGAAGAUGCUUGCUACCCGCGAUAGGACGGAAAGACCCCGUAGAGCUUUACUGUAGCUUAACAUUGAAUUUCGGUAUUGUCUGUACAGGAUAGGUGGGAGACUUGGAAGCAGGAGCGUCAGUUUCUGUGGAGUCACCCUUGGGAUACCACCCUGAUAGUACUGAAAUUCUAACGGAAAGCCUUGAAACAGGUUGCCGGACAUUGUUAGGUGGGCAGUUUGACUGGGGCGGUCGCCUCCUAAAAAGUAACGGAGGCGCCCAAAGGUUCCCUCAGCGCGGUCGGAAAUCGCGCGUAGAGUGUAAAGGCAUAAGGGAGCCUGACUGCGACACAUACAGGUGGAGCAGGGACGAAAGUCGGGCUUAGUGAUCCGGUGGUUCCUCGUGGGAGGGCCAUCGCUCAACGGAUAAAAGCUACCUCGGGGAUAACAGGCUGAUCUCCCCCAAGAGUCCACAUCGACGGGGAGGUUUGGCACCUCGAUGUCGGCUCGUCGCAUCCUGGGGCUGGAGUAGGUCCCAAGGGUUGGGCUGUUCGCCCAUUAAAGCGGCACGCGAGCUGGGUUCAGAACGUCGUGAGACAGUUCGGUCCCUAUCCGUCGCGGGCGUAGGAAAUUUGAAGGGAGCUGUCCUUAGUACGAGAGGACCGGGAUGGACUGACCUCUGGUGCACCAGUUGUCACGCCAGUGGCACAGCUGGGUAGCUAAGUCAGGAAGGGAUAAACGCUGAAAGCAUCUAAGCGUGAAGCCCACCCUAAGAUGAGAUUUCCCAUGACGUAAGUCAAUAAGAUCCCUUGAAGAACACAAGGUUGAUAGGUCAGAGGUGUAAGU
rnacentral:rRNA from 1 species